rnacentral:sRNA from 1 species
GGGACCACCGUCAAAGGAAAGGAAUUGCACCUCCUGCUAUCCAGAACAACAACUUCGAGAUCAAGAGUGGUCUCAUCUAGAUGAUUCAGGGAAACAAAUUCCAUGGUCUGCCAAUGGAGGAUCCACUCGACCACUUGGAUGAAUUUGAUAUGCUCUGUAAC